rnacentral:rRNA from 1 species
UACAGAGGUGGCAAGCGUUGUUCGGAAUUACUGGGCGUAAAGGGCGCGUAGGCGGUCUUUCAAGUCCCGUGUGAAAUCCCUCGGCUCAACUGAGGAACUGCACGGGAAACUGUCUGGCUUGAGUUCGGGAGAGGGAAGCGGAAUUCCGGGUGUAGCGGUGAAAUGACGUAGAUAUCCGGAGGAACACCGGUGGCGAAGGCGGCUUCCUGGACCGACACUGACGCUGAGGCGCGAAAGCUAGGGGAGCAAACGGG